AAAAAAAAUUAAAGGAAAUCAAAUAUUAAAAUGAGGCAAUAACAAACCUCCAUAAAAUAAAUUAAAGUUACACAUAAGAUACUAAAAUGACAGAAGAUCAAAUAUAUCCUUGGUUAUGAAUUUAGUUACACAUCAAAGAGACAAUAACAAAAUCCAUAAAAUAAAGCAAUAACAUUAAACCCAAAGGUGAUUAUAGCUUUCCAAAGUAACUCCUUUAAAAAAAAAAAAAAUCAGUGUGAGAGAAAUUAUGAGAGAAUAAAAUGUAAAAAUUAACAAUUAUAUACUUAGAAAUAAUAUAUAAUUUCUAGUCACUAGACUACUUAACAAAAAAAAUAAAUAUAAUUUUUUGUCACUUAACUAUUUCGGAAUAUGGCAGAAACAAAUUUUGUAAACACACACAGGAAUUUUAGACCUGGGACAAAUAUGAUUACAAUCGCUGUCAAGAAUGCAAGGAUGAGGAUGAUCAUGAUCAUCAUCAUGUGCUGUGAUGUAAGACAUGAAAAAUAUGGAAGUUAGUUAAAAUAGUUUAUGUAAAUUAAUAAGAAAAUUUGAAAAAAAAUGAGAGAAGAUAUAUCUCACAGUUGAUUUUGGUUACAACAAGAAAUAGGUAAAGAACAAAUACUGUAACAUAAGCAAACUUGAACAUUUGAACCAUAGUUUUUCUCCUAGCCUUUAUUUGUAACAAAUGAUAAAUCAUGUAUCCUUUACUUCAACUAAAUGAGUUUUAUCAUUUAGGAGUUGCAAGAAAACCUUCUUAACAUAGAAUCAUUUUUAAAAUGUCUCUU
rnacentral:lncRNA from 1 species